GAGGGUAUAGCUCAAGCAGUAGAGCACCUGCCUAAUAAGCAUGAGGUCCCAUGUUCAAUCCCUGGUAUCUCCU
rnacentral:tRNA from 1 species